UGGGAGCCACGAGAGAGCCGUCGGGGUUCGUCGGCUGUGGGAGCUGGCGUGGGUUUCGUUUCUCCGGGUCCGCCGCAAAGCCUCUUAAGCCCCGCCGGAGGCCGUCCGGAGCCGCGAGAGAGCCGCCGGGGUUCGUCGGCUGCGGGAGCUGGCGUGGGUUUCGUUUCUCCGGGUCCGGAGCCGCGAGAGAGCCGCCGGGGUUCGUCGGCUGCGGGAGCUGGCGCUGCGGUGAGGUGUCUCCCGGCGAAGAUCAGCCGGAACCGGUGAGCCGUUCUGUUAGCGACGAGGCGGCCGGCGCUCGGGAGCCGUUCGGGACCGCCUCCGGCUUCUCGGAGUCGAGGAGCGAGCGGGAUGGGGCCGUAUUCCUCCCACUUCGGCGCUGCCGAAACGGGUUUCUCCUGUUGAAGGCUGCAGCGGAGCCUCUCGUCAUCCCGAACCGCGAGAAGGUGACACGUGCGAGUGACUUGCACGACGAGAAGAUAUUUCUACGGAGGAGUCGCGGUGGACCGAUGAGGGGAGACGGUGCCGGACCAAGGUGGUAG
rnacentral:lncRNA from 1 species